UGGGGAAUAUUGGGCAAUGGGCGAAAGCCUGACCCAGCAACGCCGCGUGAAGGAAGAAGGUCUUCGGAUUGUAAACUUCUUUUAUGAGGGACGAAGGACGUGACGGUACCUCAUGAAUAAGCCACGGCUAACUACGUGCCAGCAGCCGCGGUAAUACGUAGGUGGCAAGCGUUAUCCGGAUUUACUGGGUGUAAAGGGCGCGUAGGCGGGGAUGCAAGUCAGAUGUGAAAUCUAUGGGCUUAACUCAUAAACUGCAUUUGAAACUGUAUCUCUUGAGUGCUGGAGAGGUAGACGGAAUUCCUUGUGUAGCGGUGAAAUGCGUAGAUAUAAGGAAGAACACCAGUGGCGAAGGCGGUCUACUGGACAGUAACUGACGCUGAGGCGCGAAAGCGUGGGGAGCAAAACAGGAUUAGAUACC
rnacentral:rRNA from 1 species